UCAUGAAGUCUAUGACCGGGCGUCGUUUUGAGUGUGGGAAGGCUUCGACCGGGGAGUGUGAUCCAGGAGCGGAUUGAACGCUGGCGGCAGGCUUAACACAUGCAAGUCGAGCGGGGAMGGGUAGCUUGCUACCUGACCUAGCGGCGGACGGGUGAGUAAUGCUYAGGAAUCUGCCUAUUAGUGKGGGACRACAUUCCGAAAGGAAUGCUAAUACCGCAUACGYCCUACGGGGGAAAGCAGGGGAUCUUCGGACCUUGCGCUAAUAGAUGAGCCUAAGUCAGAUUAGCUAGUUGGUGGGGUAAAGGCCUACCAAGGCGACGAUCUGUAGCGGGUCUGAGAGGAUGAUCCGCCACACUGGGACUGAGACACGGCCCAGACUCCUACGGGAGGCAGCAGUGGGGAAUAUUGGACAAUGGGCGAAAGCCUGAUCCAGCCAUGCCGCGUGUGUGAAGAAGGCCUUUUGGUUGUAAAGCACUUUAAGCGAGGAGGAGGCUACUUGGAUUAAUACUCUAGGAUAGUGGACGUUACUCGCAGAAUAAGCACCGGCUAACUCUGUGCCAGCAGCCGCGGUAAUACAGAGGGUGCGAGCGUUAAUCGGAUUUACUGGGCGUAAAGCGUGCGUAGGCGGCUUUUUAAGUCGGAUGUGAAAUCCCUGAGCUUAACUUAGGAAUUGCAUUCGAUACUGGGAAGCUAGAGUAUGGGAGAGGAUGGUAGAAUUCCAGGUGUAGCGGUGAAAUGCGUAGAGAUCUGGAGGAAUACCGAUGGCGAAGGCAGCCAUCUGGCCUAAUACUGACGCUGAGGUACGAAAGCAUGGGGAGCAAACAGGAUUAGAUACCCUGGUAGUCCAUGCCGUAAACGAUGUCUACUAGCCGUUGGGGCCUUUGAGGCUUU
rnacentral:rRNA from 1 species